GUUAAAGGGAAUGGGUCUCGGAAGCCGAGGGUCUGAAGUUCAAGACUCCUAGAAGGGGAGGGGAAUGAAAGCCACUCAGUGAAGAAGGUAAAACAAAUACAGUCUAUCUCUGACUUACAAUGGUUCGCCCUAAGAUUUUUGGACUUCAUGAUGGUGUGAAAGCAAUAUGAAUUCAGUAGAAACCGAACUUCAAAUUUUUGAAUUUUCCUCUGUUCCCAAGCUAGGGAUGUACUAUUGGAUACGCUCGGAUACCCUCUUGUAUGCUGGACAGUGGCAGCAAGCAGCUCCCAGUCGGCCAUGCAAUCAGGAGGGUAAACAAUGGACACACUUCCAAUUAUUCCGGACCCAGACGACCAUUCCUCUUUCACCUUCAGUACAGUAUUUGAUGAAUUGCAUGAGAUAUCGAACACUUCAUUAUAAAAUAGGCUUUGUGGGAGUUCCCGUCAUGGCGCAGUGGUUAAUGAAUCCGACUAGGAACCAUGAGGUUGCGGGUUUGGUCCCUGUCCUUGCUCAGUGGGUUGAGGAUCCGGCGUUGUCGUGAGCUGUGGUGUAGGUUGCAGAUGCAGCUCGGAUCCUGCAUUGAUGUGGCUGUGGCAUAGGCCGGUGGCUGCAGCUCUGAUUCGACCCCUGGCCUGGGAACCUCCAUAUGCCGCUGGAUUGGCUCAAGAAAUAGCAAAAAGACAAAAAAAAAAAAAAAAA
rnacentral:lncRNA from 1 species